rnacentral:rRNA from 1 species
UACGUAGGGGGCAAGCGUUGUCCGGAAUCAUUGGGCGUAAAGCGCGUGUAGGCGGUCCGGUAAGUCGGCUGUGAAAGUCCAGGGCUCAACCCUGGGAUGCCGGUGGAUACUGUCGAGCUCGAGUCCGGAAGAGGCGAGUGGAAUUCCUGGUGUAGCGGUGAAAUGCGCAGAUAUCAGGAGGAACACCAAUGGCGAAGGCAGCUCGCUGGGACGUGACUGACGCUGAGACGCGAAAGCGUGGGGAGCAAACAGG